rnacentral:snRNA from 1 species
AUCGCUUCUCGGCCUUUUGGCUAAAAUCAAGCGUAGUAUCUGUUCUUAUCAGUUUAGCAACAAAACCACAUGAUUCUUUUAUACAAGUGGACUCACAGCCACACUUU